rnacentral:rRNA from 1 species
AUUGAACGCUGGCGGCGUGCUUAACACAUGCAAGUCGAUCGGUAACGCGGGGGCAACCCUGGCGACGAGAGGCGGACGGGUGAGGAACGCUUGGGAAUCUGCCCUUCAGCGGGGGACAACCCGGGGAAACUCGGGCUAAUACCGCAUACGCUCCACGGAGGAAAGCCGGGGACCGCAAGGCCUGGCACUGAAGGAUGAGCCCAAGUCGGAUUAGCUAGUUGGCGGGGUAACGGCCCACCAAGGCGACGAUCCGUAGCUGGUCUGAGAGGACGAUCAGCCACACUGGGACUGAGACACGGCCCAGACUCCUACGGGAGGCAGCAGUGGGGAAUAUUGGACAAUGGGGGAAACCCUGAUCCAGCGACGCCGCGUGGGUGAAGAAGGCCUGCGGGUUGUAAAGCCCUUUCGGUAGGGACGAAAGCUCUCGACCUAACACGUCGGGAGGUUGACUUAACCUACAAAAGAAGCACCGGCUAACUCUGUGCCAGCAGCCGCCGUAACAC